CCGAGGGCGGCGGGGCGGGCGCGCGCUGCGGCGGGCUCGCUGGGGCAGGUGGGGCGGCUCGCCCGGGAGCAGGGAGGAGCCAGGUCGGCGCGCACCGCCCGAAGGUGAGGCUCUGGGGCGGAGGCCGGCCCGCGGGGAGCCGGACCCAGGGAGAAGCCGCCGUCCAGCCUGCCCGCCGCUCCCGCUCCAGGGAGCGCGCCCGCCCUCCCCGCGGCCGGGGUGAGACCCCGCGCGGGUAACCCGGGUCGGGCGGAGCGAGGGCUCGGGAAUGAAUGAGCGUGUCCCUGUCACGUGGCUCUCGCGGAACUCGGAGGUGGAAGGCCAGGUGCUUUGUGAAGAUGAGAGUUGUAAAACAUGCCUCCCUCCCCCGGCCAUGGAGUGAAACGGGUGCACCUUGAAAAGCCGAAAAUGAUAAUGGAGAACCCCGCUCCAGGAAGAAACAGCUGAUACCUGUGAGCCACUGGAGGAGUUGAGACUUCUCUUUAAAAAGAAACAGAUGUCCAGCUGAGUGUUGGCUCUUCUGUACACAGUAUGUGAAGAUCUAAAAUGUUUUCAUGACAGAGCUGGAAUGACUGACUAUCCCUCUUUCCAAGGUUGGAAAUGCACACCAACGCUACAACUGCUGACAAGACAGAUUUCAACCCCUUGAAAUGAUACAGUGAACUACACUUGAACAGGCCUCCCCGCAUUUCUGUUCACAAUCAACUCCAUGAUUCUGUGGCCCAUCAAUGAAGAGAAUGAGGACCCUACACUGCCCCUCUCACCAGGAAGUAGCCUGAACAGACUUCAUCACCCAGUGUCAAAGAUUUGACUUUGUUAAUCUGUCAGGGAAAACAUAGAGUUUAACAAAUCUAACAGUGGGACAGCCAUUUUAGGCUGAGGCCAUUUCAGAAUAAAAUGGGCCAGUGCCUUUGCCUGGUGGAAAUUUACCAGAUGACAACCCCCAACCACAUUCCCAGAAGUUUGGGCAACCACUGACACCCAGCUGGAAUGUGAGGGGAUCAACCAGGCCAUGAAACCAGCCCAGUUGCUCUUCUUCUGCACAAACUCUUACUUGCUCCUCCUUGAAGCAAACUCAACCAAUUCUAUUCCUUAAUUCUGCUCUCCACUCAGUAAGUUCUUUUUAUAGUCACAUACCAGCCUCUAAUGCAACAACAUAGCAAGUAAUAAGGUAACUCUAGAUGUAUUUUGAUUCUUCUAGUGUUCUGUUCACUUAUUUUAGAAACAUGGUAUAAAAUGGUUUUCAUUUAUAUUUUGCUUUCUAAAUAGAAUUCAUUGGAUGGUACCUAUACACAAGUUAGACAGUAUAAAUAUGUUUCAUUAUAAGACCAUGUUGAUAUUACUAACUAUACUUAACAGAAUGUGUAAUGCUUACAGAAUGCUUAAUGUUGUUGACAAUAAGGUGUCAGAUAAAUAAGAAAAAAGUAAAUUAUUGUAUUUAUGUAAUUUACCAUAAAUUGAAAAUGGUAACUCUUUUUCUCUUAGCUGUUUUUAAUGGUGAUAGAAAAAGUAUAAUAGAAAAUGGAAAGUGUCAAACAACCUGUCACAUGAUGGUUAAGGUAGCUAGGUCUCACUUGGCUAGCUGUAUUGUUUGAAUUCUGGACCCAGCAGCUUGAAAUACAUCAGGCUUCUGUGUGUAAGUACCCA